GUAUCGGGACAGACUCAAGGCCUUUAUCUGAUCCAACUGACCAGCCCUGAGGGAAAGAGAUGAUAUAAGUUCAUGAGUAAUGGUCUCCACGAUCCACUGCAUCCUACUGGACGAUGUGACUCCAUCCUGGUACAGGAUUGAUGCCUCACGAUACGUGAUCAAACCCCAGUUCUCCAUCGCACCGGCCGAGAAAUCCGGAAUGGCAAUCAUGUCUACCAAACAAACACCGAAACUCACCACAUCUACCCAAGUAUUGAUGCUGAUCGACGUCUCCAGCGAUUCCACAAAAUGCCACCAGUGUUUGGGAACAAACAGC